rnacentral:rRNA from 1 species
UACGAAGGGGGCUAGCGUUGUUCGGAAUCACUGGGCGUAAAGCGCACGUAGGCGGAUUGCUAAGUCAGGGGUGAAAUCCUGGAGCUCAACUCCAGAACUGCCUUUGAUACUGGCGAUCUUGAGCCACCUAGGGGCAACUGGAACAGACGGUGGAGCGGUGAAAUGCGUAGAUAUCGUCUGGAACGCCAAUGGUGAAGACAGGUUGCUGGGGGUGCGCUGACGCUGAGACACGAAAGCCAGGGGAGCAAACGGG